UACGGGGGGGGCAAGCGUUGUUCGGAAUUACUGGGCGUAAAGGGCUUGUAGGUGGCCAACUAAGUCAGACGUGAAAUCCCUCGGCUUAACCGGGGAACUGCGUCUGAUACUGGAUGGCUUGAGUGUGGGAGAGGGAUGCGGAAUUCCAGGUGUAGCGGUGAAAUGCGUAGAUAUCUGGAGGAACACCGGUGGCGAAGGCGGCAUCCUGGAUCAUUACUGACACUGAAAAGCGAAAGCCAGGGGAGCAAACGGG
rnacentral:rRNA from 1 species